rnacentral:tRNA from 1 species
GCCUGACUGGCUCAGUCGGUGGAGCCUGUGACUCUUGAUCUCAGGGUGGUGGGUUUGAGUCCCACGUUGCA